rnacentral:rRNA from 1 species
CAUGCAAGUCGAACGGCAGCACAGUAAGAGCUUGCUCUUAUGGGUGGCGAGUGGCGGACGGGUGAGGAAUACAUCGGAAUCUACUUUUUCGUGGGGGAUAACGUAGGGAAACUUACGCUAAUACCGCAUACGACCUACGGGUGAAAGCAGGGGAUCUUCGGACCUUGCGCGAUUGAAUGAGCCGAUGUCGGAUUAGCUAGUUGGCGGGGUAAAGGCCCACCAAGGCGACGAUCCGUAGCUGGUCUGAGAGGAUGAUCAGCCACACUGGAACUGAGACACGGUCCAGACUCCUACGGGAGGCAGCAGUGGGGAAUAUUGGACAAUGGGCGCAAGCCUGAUCCAGCCAUACCGCGUGGGUGAAGAAGGCCUUCGGGUUGUAAAGCCCUUUUGUUGGGAAAGAAAUCCAGCUGGUUAAUACCCGGUUGGGAUGACGGUACCCAAAGAAUAAGCACCGGCUAACUUCGUGCCAGCAGCCGCGGUAAUACGAAGGGUGCAAGCGUUACUCGGAAUUACUGGGCGUAAAGCGUGCGUAGGUGGUCGUUUAAGUCUGUUGUGAAAGCCCUGGGCUCAACCUGGGAACUGCAGUGGAAACUGGACGACUAGAGUGUGGUAGAGGGUAGCGGAAUUCCUGGUGUAGCAGUGAAAUGCGUAGAGAUCAGGAGGAACAUCCAUGGCGAAGGCAGCUACCUGGACCAACACUGACACUGA